GGCUGGUUCAAAGGUAGGGAGUUAUCUCACUUGAUUGUUCACAGUUACAGAUUGAAUUCCUUGUUCUACUUUCCCUCCUUCUCACUACUGCACAUGACUAGUCAAAA
rnacentral:Y_RNA from 1 species